CCCUACGCUGGGAUAGAGAGGCUGUUUCCAAAUAGACCCCCGGCAUCCUUCCCUCCAAGAACUUCCCACCUUGCUCUUGGGGAGACUCGAACUCACAACCUCUCGGUUGGAAGUGGGGGUUUCUUACCAUCAGAUUUCCAAAUAGACCCCCGGCAUCCUUCCCUCCAAGAACUUCCCACCUUGCUCUUGGGGAGACUCGAACUCAUAAC
rnacentral:lncRNA from 1 species